AGGGUCAUGGAUCAGCAGUAGAGCACCUGUCUUGUGUGCAGAAGGCCCCUGGUUCAAGCCCCAGGUGGGGCUC